ensembl:snoRNA
CUCUUCUCAAAAUAAACUGGACAACAGGAAUUGGAGGAAAAGAGAUGUGGAUUUGGAGAAGUCUGCAGCCAGCUUGCUCCUCGAGGGCUCAUCAGUCAUCCCACAUAG